rnacentral:rRNA from 1 species
GAUGAACGCUGGCGGCGUGCCUAAUACAUGCAAGUCGAGCGAACAGACGAGGAGCUUGCUCCUCUGACGUUAGCGGCGGACGGGUGAGUAACACGUGGAUAACCUACUUAUAAGACUGGGAUAACUUCGGGAAACCGGAGCUAAUACCGGAUAAUAUAUUGAACCGCAUGGUUCAAUAGUGAAAGACGGUUUUGCUGUCACUUAUAGAUGGAUCCGCGCCGCAUUAGCUAGUUGGUAAGGUAACGGCUUACCAAGGCAACGAUGCGUAGCCGACCUGAGAGGGUGAUCGGCCACACUGGAACUGAGACACGGUCCAGACUCCUACGGGAGGCAGCAGUAGGGAAUCUUCCGCAAUGGGCGAAAGCCUGACGGAGCAACGCCGCGCGAGUGAUGAAGGUCUUCGGAUCGUAAAACUCUGUUAUUAGGGAAGAACAAAUGUGUAAGUAACUAUGCACGUCUUGACGGUACCUAAUCAGAAAGCCACGGCUAACUACGUG